rnacentral:lncRNA from 1 species
AAUUUUCAGGUGUUUUGAUGUACUUUUUUUGUGAGCAUACAGUCAGAUUGUAAGCACAAGCCCCUACAUUCUUCACAACUAUUGUUUGCCUUUAAAUUACAGGCUGCCCAUUUCCAAGGUUAUGGUCACUACCUGCCCUAGCUCUUAGCUUCCAAAGUUUGUGAGGCCAAAUUGAGCUAAGGAUUCCAUGGACAGAAAACAUCUGUAAAUAGCUCAGAAGGUUUGAAUGUAAACAUUCUGGGACAUUAUAUCAGACUCGAAAGACAUAGAUUUUCAGAUGAAUACAUCUGGAGACAAAGAAUAUGGCUAUAAGAACACUCAGGACAACUGCAAAUAAC